rnacentral:rRNA from 1 species
GAUGAACGCUGGCGGCGUGCCUAAUACAUGCAAGUAGAACGCUGAAGGAAGGAGCUUGCUCUUUCCGGAUGAGUUGCGAACGGGUGAGUAACGCGUAGGUAACCUGCCUGGUAGCGGGGGAUAACUACUGGAAACGAUAGCUAAUACCGCAUAACAGUAUAUGUUGCAUGAUAUCUACCUAAAAGGUGCAAUUGCACCACUACCAGAUGGGACUGCGUUUUAUUAGCUAGUUGGUGAGGUAACGGCCCACCAAGGCGACGGUACAUAGCCGACCUGAGAGGGUGGUCGGCCAACCUGGGACUGGGCCACGGCCCCGACUCCUCCGGGAGGCAGCAGUAGGGAAUCUUCGGCAAUGGGCGGAAGUCUGGACGGGCAACGCCGCGUGGGUGGAGAAGGUUUUCGGAUCGUAAAGCUCUGUUGUAAGGGAAGAACGAGUGUGGGAGUGGAAAGUUCACACUGUGACGGUAUCUUACCAGAAAGGGACGGCUAACUACGUG